rnacentral:miRNA from 6 species
GGAGAAAUUAUCCUUGGUGUGUU